rnacentral:rRNA from 1 species
AGCAGCCGCGGUAAUUCCAGCUCCAAUAGCGUAUAUUAAAGUUGUUGCAGUUAAAAAGCUCGUAGUUGAAUUUCGGGGUUAGUAGAUUGGUCAUGCCUCUGGUAUGUACUGGUCUCACUGAUUCCUCCUUCCUGAUGAUCCGUAAUGCCAUUAAUUUGGUGUUGCGGGGAAUUUGGACUGUUACUUUGAAAAAAUUAGAGUGUUUAAAGCAAGCUAACGCUUGAAUACAUUAGCAUGGAAUAAUGAAAUAGGACGUUCGAUCCUAUUUUGUUGGUUUCUAGGAUUGACGUAAUGAUUGAUAGGGAUAGUUGGGGGCAUUAGUAUUCAAUUGUCAGAGGUGAAAUUCUUGGAUUUACUGAAGACUAACUACUGCGAAAGCAUUUGCCAAGGAUGUUUUCAUUAAUCAAGAACGAAAGUUAGGGGAUCGAAGACGAUCAGGUACCGUCGUAGUCUUAACCAUAAACUAUGCCGACUAGGGAUCGGAUGAUGUUAAUUUUUUAAUGACUCA